rnacentral:rRNA from 1 species
UUACACAUAGCAAGUCGAACGGCAGCACGGGGCAACCUGGGUGGCGAGUGGCGAACGGGUGAGUAAUGCAUCGGAACGUGCCAUUGAGUGGGGGGUAACGUAGCGAAAGUUACGCUAAUACCGCAUAUUCUGUGAGCAGGAAAGCAGGGGAUCGCAAGACCUUGCGCUCUUUGAGCGGCCGAUGUCAGAUUAGCUAGUUGGUGAGGUAACGGCUUACCAAGGCGACGAUCUGUAGCGGGUCUGAGAGGAUGAUCCGCCACACUGGAACUGAGACACGGUCCAGACUCCUACGGGAGGCAGCAGUGGGGAAUUUUUGGACAAUGGGGGCAACCCUGAUCCAGCCAUGCCGCGUGAGUGAAGAAGGCCUUCGGGUUGUAAAGCUCUUUCGGCCGGGAAGAAAUCGCAUGGGUUAAUACCCUGUGUGGAUGACGGUACCGGCAUAAGAAGCACCGGCUAACUACGUG